rnacentral:rRNA from 1 species
AGGACGAACGCUGGCGGCGUGCUUAACACAUGCAAGUCGAGCGGAAAGGCCCUUCGGGGUACUCGAGCGGCGAACGGGUGAGUAACACGUGAGCAACCUGCCCUUAGCUCCGGGAUAGCUCCGGGAAACCGGAAUUAAUACCGGAUACGACCACGGCCGACAUCUGCUGUGGUGGAAAGGAUUCCGGCUAAGGAUGGGCUCGCGGCCUAUCAGCUAGUUGGUGGAGUAACGGCCCACCAAGGCGACGACGGGUAGCCGGCCUGAGAGGGCGACCGGCCACACUGGGACUGAGACACGGCCCAGACUCCUACGGGAGGCAGCAGUGGGAAUAUUGCGCAAUGGGCGAAAGCCUGACGCAGCGACGCCGCGUGGGGGAUGAAGGCCUUCGGGUUGUAAACCCCUUUCAGCAGGGACGAAGCGAAAGUGACGGUACCUGCAGAAGAAGCGCCGGCUAACUACGUGCCAGCAGCCGC